ensembl:lncRNA
GAGCCUUCCGUGGCGUUGCAUGCUGUUUUGAGAUUGUUGUGGUUUAAUACUAGUAUGAUAUUUUACAAAACCUCAUCUAUGGAUGUGAGAGGUGGACUAUAAAGAAAGCUGAGCGCCGAAGAAUUGAUGCGUUUGAACUGUGGUGUUGGAGAAGACUCUUGAGAGUUCCUUGGACUGCAAGGAGAUCCAACCAAUCCAUUCUGAAGGAGAUCAGCCCUGGGAUUUCUUUGGAAGGAAUGAUGCUAAAGCUGAAACUCCAGUACUUCGGCCACCUCAUGCGAAGAGUUGACUCACUGGAAAAGACUGUGGUGCUGGGAGAGGUUGGGGGCAGGAGGAGAAGGGGAUGACAGAGGAUGAGAUGGCUGGAUGGCAUCACUGACUCGAUGGCCGUGAGUCUGAGUGAACUCUGGGAGUUGGUGAUGGACAGGGAGGCCUGGCGUGCUGCGAUUCAUGGGGUCACAAAGAGUCAGACACGACAGAGCGACUGAACUGAACUGAAUUGAAGGACUGUAUUUCCCCAAUUAAUAUGAUGUUCAGUCUACUUUCCAGGAAUCCUAUGCCUACAUUUCAGGUUUCACAGGUGAGCACAUACAUAGUUCAUCCUUGUAACGAAGAAUAUGAUGAGUCUAUAGGAAUUAUCUGAGCUUGUGCAGUAACAGUGUGUCUGGCAGCCACUGCUGGAGUAGAAAUGUCUCCUCUAACGCUGGAUGUUGUAUGAAUUGCUGAGAAGAUUAAAUUAUUGUGUGUCUGUUGAUUGUGGAGAGACUCUUUUCAGUUAUAUUAAGGAAUCAGCAUGUAAGAAAAAUAGAACGUUAUGCAAUUCAGAUACCAUAUUUCUGCUUCUUUUCAAAAUUAUGAUACCCAUUCAAAAAAUGUAUGUUCUUUAUACCAUACACAAGUUGCUCACCUUAACACUGAUUUUGCAUGUAUCUUGUAUUUUCAUAUCUUUCACAAAUCUUGCCUUAUUGGUAAUACUUGUAUUAAAAAAUAGGACCAGGCAGUGGAG